GCGCCCGUAGCUCAAUUGGAUAGAGCAUCUGACUACGGAUCAGAAGGUUGGGGGUUCAAGUCCCUCCGGGCGUACGA
rnacentral:tRNA from 1 species